AUUGAACGCUGGCUGCAGGCCUAACACAUGCAAGUCGAACGAGUGGCGGACGGGUGAGUAAUGUCUGGGAAACUGCCUGAUGGAGGGGGAUCACUACUGGAAACGGUAGCUAAUACCGCAUACCAUCGGAUGUGCCCAGAUGGGAUUGGCUAGUAGGUGGGGUAAAGGCCCACCUAGGCAACGAUCCCUAGCUGGUCUGAGAGGAUGGCCAGCCACACUGGAACUGAGACACGGUCCGGACUCCUACGGGAGGCAGGAGUGGGGAAUGUUGCAAAAUGGGCGCAAGGCUAAUGCAGACAUGCCGCGUGUAUGAAGAAGGCCUUCGGGUUGUAAAGUACUUUCAGCGGGAAGGCGUUACCCGAAGAAGAAGGACCGGCUAACUCCGUGCCAGCAGCCGCGGUAAUUC
rnacentral:rRNA from 1 species